rnacentral:rRNA from 1 species
CGCUCGCCGGAAGACCAAGGGUUCCUGUCCAACGUUAAUCGGGGCAGGGUGAGUCGACCCCUAAGGCGAGGCCGAAAGGCGUAGUCGAUGGGAAACAGGUUAAUAUUCCUGUACUUGGUGUUACUGCGAAGGGGGGACGGAGAAGGCUAUGUUAGCCGGGCGACGGUUGUCCCGGUUUAAGCAUGUAGGCUGAUUGUCCAGGCAAAUCCGGAUAAUCAAGGCUGAGGUGUGAUGACGAGGCACUACGGUGCUGAAGUAACAAAUGCCCUGCUUCCAGGAAAAGCCUCUAAGCAUCAGGUAACAUCAAAUCGUACCCCAAACCGACACAGGUGGUCAGGUAGAGAAUACCAAGGCGCUUGAGAGAACUCGGGUGAAGGAACUAGGCAAAAUGGUGCCGUAACUUCGGGAGAAGGCACGCUGGUGUGUAGGUGAAGUCCCUGCGGAUGGAGCUGAGACCAGUCGAAGAUACCAGCUGGCUGCAACUGUUUAUUAAAAACACAGCACUGUGCAAACACGAAAGUGGACGUAUACGGUGUGACGCCUGCCCGGUGCCGGAAGGUUAAUUGAUGGGGUUAUCCGUAAGGAGAAGCUCUUGAUCGAAGCCCCGGUAAACGGCGGCCGUAACUAUAACGGUCCUAAGGUAGCGAAAUUCCUUGUCGGGUAAGUUCCGACCUGCACGAAUGGCGUAAUGAUGGCCAGGCUGUCUCCACCCGAGACUCAGUGAAAUUGAACUCGCUGUGAAGAUGCAGUGUACCCGCGGCAAGACGGAAAGACCCCGUGAACCUUUACUAUAGCUUGACACUGAACAUUGAGCCUUGAUGUGUAGGAUAGGUGGGAGGCUUUGAAGCGUGGACGCCAGUCUGCGUGGAGCCAACCUUGAAAUACCACCCUUUAAUGUUUGAUGUUCUAACGUUGGCCCCUGACCGGGGUUGCGGACAGUGUCUGGUGGGUAGUUUGACUGGGGCGGUCUCCUCCCAAAGCGUAACGGAGGAGCACGAAGGUUAGCUAAUCCUGGUCGGACAUCAGGAGGUUAGUGCAAUGGCAUAAGCUAGCUUGACUGCGAGCGUGACGGCGCGAGCAGGUGCGAAAGCAGGUCAUAGUGAUCCGGUGGUUCUGAAUGGAAGGGCCAUCGCUCAACGGAUAAAAGGUACUCCGGGGAUAACAGGCUGAUACCGCCCAAGAGUUCAUAUCGACGGCGGUGUUUGGCACCUCGAUGUCGGCUCAUCACAUCCUGGGGCUGAAGUAGGUCCCAAGGGUAUGGCUGUUCGCCAUUUAAAGUGGUACGCGAGCUGGGUUUAGAACGUCGUGAGACAGUUCGGUCCCUAUCUGCCGUGGGCGCUGGAGAAUUGAGGGGGGCUGCUCCUAGUACGAGAGGACCGGAGUGGACGCAUCACUGGUGUUCGGGUUGUCAUGCCAAUGGCACUGCCCGGUAGCUAAAUGCGGAAGAGAUAAGUGCUGAAAGCAUCUAAGCACGAAACUUGCCCCGAGAUGAGUUCUCCCUGAGACUUUAAGUCUCCUGAAGGAACGUUGAAGACGACGACGUUGAUAGGCCGGGUGUGUAAGCGCAGCGAUGCGUUGAGCUAACCGGUACUAAUGAACCGUGAGGCUUAACCUUACAACGCCGAAG